rnacentral:lncRNA from 1 species
UCUAGCUUGCGACGAUGUGUGGCGAGCUCUCGGGUUGAGUUGGUCGUCGUCGACGUCGCACCGCGGUGCCGUUCGAGCGGGUUUUCGCCAUCGUAGCGCUGCGCGGAGGCCGGGCGAGGGUGCGAUUCCGCCGUUUUCGACUUCGUGCCGAUGUUGGAUUAGCGUUUGAGGUAGGUUAAUCGUCGGUUUAUCUUCUAAGUAUAUAUAUUGUCGACUUGUGUUGUUAUGUUGUUUCGUUGAUAGAAAUUGCUCAAUUCUUAGAUUUUGGUAUGUUUAUCUAUAGAAUCUGAAUUGGAGCUGAAUAAUGUGAUUAUAUAUUGACACAAGUUGAACUUGGAUUUGACUUAGGAGAAAACCAGCGUUUUGAACCUGCCAUAUGCCUAAACUACCAGAUUUACCUCUAGGAGCCGUUGUUACUUUGAAUCGUCGCAGUUUCAGGGCGAUGGAUACCUCAGGUAGUUUAGAGUGCAGUUACGCUCGUGCUGAGAUGCCGAGCUUAUUUUUACAGUAGUGUUCAGACUGUUCCAGACUGUUGGGUGCCGUUGGAUCUGACGGUGGAACUGGAUUAGUGUUAUAGCAUGAGAUUGUGCCGAGGGCACGUGUGUUUUGGUUGUUAGACCAGUUCGA